CACUUAUCUUGGUUGUCCUUGGCGGUCAUCUACGUCUCCUUUCCACUAGCAUCCAAGGGCCAUAAUCAUCUGAAUUCUUUGGUGAGUCAUCCGUGUUUGAAGGUUUUUUUUCUUGUUUGUUUUCCUUCUCCAUGCGCAACACUUUCUUUAAAUUCUUUUGGUUUAUUCACUCUUUUAGGACAAAUUUCUUUUAUGUGGCCAUAAUGGCCACACGAAAAACAAAUGGUGGGUAGAUACUCGUAUUCAACACUCUGCAGUAUUCCGUUGACCAGAACUUGAAAGAUCAAUGCUUUCUCCAGAUUUACUUAUACCGCCAUCCUUGCGAACCAUCCCCUAACCCCAUUAUCCAUAUUGAAAUCAAGUUUCGCUACUUUCCCUACUAAUCCUCUUAUUUCCUACAGGAUUCUCCAUUGGUACAUGUGCCCUGGCAAUCUAGGAAGCCGAAUCCACGCCAUGACCAUACGGAGGUAAGGUUGUGGUGUGUUAAAAUCCAUAGAUCAAGGUUGUAAGGUUAGGUACUUCCCAUAAACAAUCCAAGGUCCUUGACAUAGGACCUUCUUAAAGUCCUCUGGGUUCUGAAAUUUAGCCAAGAAGUAACCAUUUUCAACAUCCAUAAAGCAAAACGGUUAAGACGACUUCCACAAAGAAUGGACUUUAUUAUGAAGCGCAAUAUACACAAUGCUUCUUCCCAGAAGCUUAACUACCAAUGUAUGAGCCAUGUUGUUAAUUAGGAUCUAGUUUACCCAUUCAAAGAAACUAAUCGAUGGAAUACCAUUAAUUGAAGAACGCACGACGUAUGUUUCAAAUAACUCGAAUUCCCCUUCAUAAAAAAAAAAAAAACAUUCGAAGUUGUUGUCUGCCCUUUGGCAAGGCCAGUCCCUAUUAAACGAUCCUUCCAUGACAAAGGUUUCUUUGUAAUCGGAGCUAAAUCCAUU
rnacentral:lncRNA from 1 species